GUCUACAGCCAUACCACCCUGGACGCACCCGAUCUCAUCUGAUCUCGGAAGCUAAGCAGGGUCGGGCCUGGUUAGUACUUGGAUGGGAGAAUUGGGAGUAAAGAGCAGCAAGGGCCAUAGGCC
ensembl:rRNA 5S_rRNA 5S ribosomal RNA